rnacentral:lncRNA from 1 species
GAGGAUCAGUCAUCCAAGCUAGCUCAGGCUAAGGCACCUAUGUCUGUUCAGGAUGAGGCAUCCAAGUCGGGUGAAGUUGGGUCAUCUAAGUCAGCUCAGGUAGACUCAAUUUCUUCCACCAAUUCGGGAGAGGAUACGAAACCCCAAGAAGGUAAAGGGACAAAAUCCACCAAUCAGAAGAACCUUGGGGAGAAGACCAAGAAAGAUAAUGCCAAAAAGAAGGAUAAUAAAGGGGAUCAGAAACUAUCCAUGGAUGAAAAUGCGAAUGAUACUCAUCAAUCCAAGGAGCAGGUGAAAGGUGGUCAACAAGACCAAAAAGGAAAGCAAAAACCAACUGGUAAACAAGGCCCGGCCGCGGAAAAGAAAGCUGGUUUGAGCGUGGAUGCAGAGGCUGAGGUUGAAGUUGCGAGGAAUCAGCAGUCAGCUGCUGCGGAAGAAGACGUACCAGAAAAACCGGAUGAUGUCGAAAACACCGGGGACAAUCAAGAAUCUGAGGACCGCGUUGAACCUCCUCCAAAAAGGAUAAACAAUGUUAACACGACAGUUGCUGCAAGGGACAGGCUCACAAUCUACUUUCAUGCGGUUUUGUCAAAGGAUUUCAAACUUGAAGAGGAAGACCGAAUCAUUAUCAGAGCUGGCGACCAUAUUGGGACAUGGAAAGAUAACUUGGCUGAGGUCUUUAUGUCUAAGGAUCUUGGAGACCAUGGAUAUUUAGUUGAGGGAAGAUUUGAAACAACAAAAGAACGCACCUUGUCCAAAAGCAUACCAUACAAAUAUGUUGUCUACAAGGCCAAAAAGGAGAAAUAUGAGUAUGAAUACAUUUACAAAUUGGAUUCAGAGCAACCUACGAAUCGAUGCUUGUUUGUGAAGUCCGGACUCCUCAAUGAGGAAGGGGACUGGCAUCAGUAUGAUGACAUCAUCUGUACAGCACCAUCCAAGGAUAUAUUCAAACGCUUGAAAAACGCUUUUCGGUCUGAGCAAAGGAAAAGUGUCGUUGAAGGCAAAGAGAUUGCAGGGAACAUCAUGCUAGACACCAUAUUCGACCUCCUUCGGAAUUGGACCGACAUCAACUUGAAGAAUUUCCUCAUCCAAUUGAAACAGUUCUUUGACAUUUAUGCAAAUCCGUUUGUGUAUGAAGACACGCACAAGAGGUGGAACUCUCUAGAAUAUGGAGAAAAAGAAGUAUGGAAAUUACUUCAGAUUUAUUAUAUAAUUAAAAAGCUAUCAAGGAUUAUUUUGGUUAUGCAGACCCAUACAGGCCCCUGUACACUGCGGGCCCCGGUGGGGGGAAAGGGUACUGACUACUGUAAAAGUGACGCAAAAAAAGCAUCAUAUUUUGUCUUUACAGGAGCAAAUGAGAAGCUGAUUGAGAAGCUCACAGAAGAGGCUAGAGAAAGAUUGGCGGUAGCAAUAUCUACUUUCACAGCCAUCACCGAUCAGCUGGUCAAGGGAAAAAUUAAGAUCAACCUACUCAAGUUCCUCUUGGAAAGACGGCACGCCUUCUUAGCAUUGCUGAGAAUCGGUAAUUGCUAUAUCAUAUUUUAUACAAGCCAACUGAGCAGCAUUGAGGCCAAGAGCCUUAACAAUUUCAUGGAGGUUCACACAUUCGACCCGCAGUCCCACCCCCCAAUGGCUGGUGUGGUGACGUACUACGAUCUUGACGAAGACAUCAGAGAAAUGGCUGUUGUCCUGAACACCCACAAAGACAGCUACUUGUUCAUAGGUUGCUGGGAAAAACAGGCAAGGCAAUAUGUAGACCCUGAGGUGCCUGGUGUUGCUGAUAUAAUGGCCACACCGAUCAUGAUACAUGAUGACAUAUUCCAGCCCUCUCAUGAUGAGUAUCAAAACAUAUAUCGUUGCCUGAUGGAUGGCAGCAUAAAGCUCAGGGAGGUUGACACACUCUUCAAAGAUUACACCGGGAAGUACAACGAACUUGAGAAGGACUUUGACAUAAUGUGCAGAGUGGACGUUUCAAAUGACAAACAGUGGAUCAAGCAGAGGGCUCUGCAGAUUCAGCAGUACCACGAACUCCAUCUUGCCGUGGAGUCGGCUAAAGCGAUCAUGCUUGUCAAGGAGACACUUGGUCUUCAAGGUGACUUCAGUAUCCUGCAGACAUUGCUGGAAGUUACGAAUGUAGCCUUUAAAGAAGGACCCCUGAAUCGAAUUGACGAUAACUUGAAUCAGGCCAAGAUGGUUCUCGUGGACAUCAAUUCUUCACGCAGACACUGUCUACAACAGUUGGGACAGAGAGGACUAUUUGUCCAUUGGGUAAAGGAAGCCCUCGAAGACAUCAAUGAGCUGAAGGUGUUUGUUGACCUGGCCUCCAUUUCCGCUGGAGAGAAUGACUUGGAUGUGGAUCGCGUUGCUUGCUUUCACGAUGCUGUCCUUGGCUACUCGCCACUGCUCUACGACCUCAAGAAGGACUCAGGGUUUCAAACCUUCAAGGAUGUGCUGAAGAAACUCUGGAGAGCUUUGGAGAAUGACAGUGACUUGCCCAAGAAACUGGUCGACACUGCACGCCAUCUGGAAUGGCUUAAGACGGUGAAGGAGAGUCAUGGCUCAGUGGAACUCUCCUCUCUUUCUUUAGCAUCCUCCAUCAACACCAAGGGCACCUAUGUGAUCAGUGCACGUAACUUGAGCCUUGACACGGCCUUGAAGCUGCGGAUUCCAGAGGAGCACGACGAGGGUCAGGAAAUGCGCUGGUACACGCUUGAAGACCUACGGGAGCUCCAGAACAAACUCAUGCUCAUGUCUGGGAAAGACCAGGGCCAGCAUGAGGUGGACCACUUUGCAGAGGUCUUUGCCAAUGUCCAAAGACUAGCUGAGGCUUUCAUUGCGUUGUACACAGCUGGGAACCCUCUAUUCAGAAGCUGGGAAGCGUACAUCAAUUGCAGCUUCAGCAAUGAAGCGUCCAGUAUCAUUAUUGACUUCAACCUUGACAAUGUGUCUGAUGUCAUUGCCGUGGAUGGAAAAAUUGACAUUCAGCUUCCCGAGUUGUGCAAGAAAAUUGAGAAGUGCCUCAAUUAUUGGAAGGACUUUGUGGACAAGCAAAGAUCCCAACAUUACUACCUUAACUAUUACACAGCUGAACAGAUUGUAUACCUGUGCAGUAAGCUAUCUCCGCAAAAUGUGGCUGAUUUGGAGGUUGAGGUUUUAAUGAUGCUCUCUUUUGUCAAGCCAAAUUGUACUGCAAAAGAUCUGAGAGAGGUCUGGCAUGACAUGAGGGGUUUUCUUCCACAUAUUCUCGACAUAAAAGGCCUCGGUAAAUUAUUGGAAAAACUGGCCAACAAACGAAGCAAAGGGAAUUCGUUCAUAACAAGAGUAAUGCCGAAUGGCCUGACUACUGGGAAUCCCAACCUCAUUGUCUGCUCACAGGAAGAGGUCUUCAACACUUGCCUCUCCAUUUACAUGAGCGAUGAAAAUGAGGCGCUGCCCACUUAUGACGAAGUCCUACUAUGCAACUCCUCAACAUCUUAUGAACAAGUGGAGCUGUUCCUGAGACGCUGUCUCACCCCUGGCUAUAGCGGACGAAAGAUCUACACUCUGCUCUACGGUGACCUUCUGACCUACGACGUGAGCUCCAAAGUCGAGGGUUUCUUCCAGCGUAUGAAACUGCAACGGAGGGAGCAUUACAGACUAGUCAUGGUCUGCAGCUCAGAGCGUGAACAUGCAUAUAUUCCCUCGGCCUUCAGUCAAUACCGCUUGCACAUGGUCCCUCAGGAGCCUACAGCCAGGAUUCAGAGUUACCUGAGCAGUCACUAUCGUGUCCCCGCAGAUGAGUGCAGCGCUGCAGCUGUGUUCAGAGACCGACUCUCUGUUGGAGUUGUGUCAUCGGAGAGAGCUGGCGUGGGUAAAUCCCUCUAUGUGAAGAGACUACAUGGGAAACUGAAGCGAUCGAGCAAAAAGCCAUCAGUGUUAAAAUGCAUUCGCUUGAUUGAACCAAAGGUUGACGAGAAUUCCAUCCUUCAGUCUCUGCUGGAAAGCACCAAGAAAAGUGAUUUGACAAUAUUCCAUUUAGAUGUCACGUCAUCGGUCCGGAAAGGCCUUCAAGACUUUUUAUUUAAAUUGCUGAUCCUUCGUUAUCUGAUGGACUCUGAGGGGAUGAUGUGGAAGUGCUGCAACAAGCAGUUGUAUCUCGUUGAAAUCUUGAGAUCAGCAAUAAAACUCCCCAGUAAUGUUUCACGUCAGGUAAGCCAAACUAUGGACGGCUCGUUCAUAGAUUGGUUUCCUAACAUCUUCUGCCGACCACCUAAAGAAGUGUUGAUGCUAGAGAUGAAGAAGAACGAGGUUCCUGCCCUCUUCAACAUUGACGAGCCACUGAUGGACGAUGAAGAAUUCAGGAGUGAAGCCUUCCAAAGGCCAUAUCAAUACCUCACACAAUUCCAUAACCGCAGAGAUCUCGACACCUUCAAAUACAAUGCUGUUGAAGGGUCACACGUGGAGUGUCUUCAAAUGCUCCUCAUGUUCUGUGGAGUCAUGGAGCCCUCAUGGGCAGAGAUCAGAAACUUUUCCUGGUUUCUAAACCUCCAGCUAAAAAACUGUGAGACAUCUGUUUUUUGUGACUUUGAUUUAGUUGGUGACACUCUGAAAGGAUUCAAGAGCUUCGUUGUUGACUUCAUGAUUCUAAUGGCGAAGGACUUUGCCACACCAUCACUCAGCAUCUCUGACCAGAGUCCUGGAAGACUUCAGUUUGACGCGAGUGGCCUGCGUGAAGAGGAUUUGGCCCCUUUUCGGAUCAGGAAGCGAUGGGAGUCAGAAUCACACCCAUACAUCUUCUUCAACGGUGACCAUGAGUCCAUGACCUUCAUUGGCUUCCAUCUUCAGCCUAAUGUAAAUAACUUUGUGGAUGCCAUCGACCCCACUUCCAAGAGGAUAAUAAAGAAAGACAUCAUGACUAAGGAGCUGUUUGAUGGCCUAACGUUACAGAGAGUUCCGUUCAACAUCAACUUUGAUCAACUACCAAGAGGGGAAAAGAUUGAAAGAAUCUGCAAUGUCCUUGGAAUCCAGUGGCCCCUUGAUCCCGACGAAACAUAUGAGCUCACAACUGACAACAUCCUCAAAAUUUUGGCAAUCCACAUGCGAUUCAGGUGUGGCAUCCCUGUCAUUAUUAUGGGCGAGACAGGUUGUGGCAAGACUAGGCUCAUCAAAUAUCUGUGUGAAUUGCAAAGAUGUGGAGUGGCUACCGAGAACAUGAAACUGGUCAAAGUCCAUGGAGGAACAAGUUCAGAUAUAAUCUACACCAAAGUCAGAGAAGCUGAAGCGAUAUCUUUGACAAACAAAGAAAACUAUGGCUUUGAUUCUGUCCUGUUCUUUGAUGAGGCAAACACAACAGAGGCUAUCAGCAGCAUCAAGGAGAUCAUUUGUGACCAUACCGUGAAAGGUGAAAGUUUGACACCCAACUGUGGAUUGCAAAUAAUAGCAGCAUGCAACCCUUAUCGAAAACACACAGAGGAAAUGAUUACAAAACUAGAGUCUGCUGGCCUUGGUUAUCGAGUCCGAGCUGAGGAGACGGAUGAAAAGCUUGGUUCCAUCCCACUCCGCCAAUUAGUUUACAGAGUUCAGGCCUUGCCACCAAGUAUGAUUCCUCUGGUGUGGGAUUUUGGACAACUGAAUGACAACACAGAGGAAAUUUACAUUCAACAGAUUGUGCAGAGAGUAGUUGGACUCAAAGCAAUCAAUGGAGAAUACAUCAAGAUCAUCUCAGAUGUCCUUGCAGCUUCUCAGAGAUAUAUGCGAAAAAGAAAAGAUGAGUGCAGCUUCGUCAGUCUGCGGGAUGUGGAGCGCUGCAUGCAAGCCUUCAUCUGGUUCUAUGAGAACCACGCCAUGUUCUUCACGGAACUUGAACAAUUUGAGCCAAAACAGCGGGAGCUGAAGAAUGAAGUACCGCAGAGAGACAGAGCGGUUCGAGACCCUGUCCUUUGGUCUCUGAUCAUGGCUGCAGGGGUCUGCUACCAUGCCUGCUUGGAAAAAAAAGAGAAAUACAGACAGAAUAUCUGUAAAAAGAUGAACUGCACCCCCGUCAGAGUAAUGCAGGAAAUCUCACUUAUGCAGGAUCUACUUUUAAGUGGGGUGCCUAUGGGAGAAACAAUUGCAAAAAACAGUGCACUCAAAGAGAAUGUCUUCAUGAUGGUCCUAUGCAUUGAACUUAGGAUUCCCCUAUUUUUGGUUGGAAAACCUGGAAGUUCAAAAUCUCUCUCCAAAACUCUUGUGGCAGAUGCAAUGCAAGGCCAAGCAGCUCACAGUGAGCUCUUCAAAAAGUUGAAACAAAUCCAUUUGGUGUCCUUCCAGUGUAGCCCUCAUUCAACCCCAGAGGGCAUCAUUAACACAUUCAAGCAAUGUGGUCGUUUCCAAGAAGGCAAGAACCUAAAUGAGUACAUUUCUGUUGUGGUAUUGGAUGAAAUUGGGUUGGCCGAAGACUCUCCUAAAAUGCCGCUCAAAACACUUCAUCCUUUACUAGAGGAAGGGUGCAUUGAUGAUGAACCACUGCCUCACAAGAAAGUUGGUUUUAUCGGCAUUUCCAACUGGGCUCUUGACCCUGCAAAGAUGAACAGAGGCAUCUUUGUCUCACGCGGUGACCCUGAUUUGACAGAGCUCCUUGAGAGUGCAAAAGGCAUAUGCUCAUCUGAUGCAAUGCUCCUGGAGGCGGUAAGAGAUCUCUUCCAGCCCUUUGCGCAGGCCUACUUGAAUGUCUGCCAAAAUCAAGGAAAGGGCUUCUUUGGUCUACGUGACUACUAUAGCUUGGUCAAGAUGAUUUUUGCAAUAACCAAAGGUACUCGACAGAAGCCCAGUGGGUCGAAAAUUGUUGAGGCAGUGUUGAGGAACUUCAGUGGCAAAGACAAUGACAACGUACUCUCUGUUUUCACUGGUAGGCUUAAAAUCGCACCCAAUCUUGAGAGCAUUGACGUGACUGAGCUUGUGAGACAGAACAUUUUGGCGAGCGGACAGGAAGAGUGCAGAUACUUGCUGGUUCUGACUAAGAAUUACGCUGCCCUGCAGAUCUUGCAGCAGACCUUCUUCUCAGAAAGCGAUCAGCCUGAAAUCAUCUUUGGCUCCAGCUUCCCAAAAGAUCAAGAGUACACCCAAAUAUGUCGCAACAUCAACCGAGUGAAGAUCUGCAUGGAAACGGGGCGCACCGUUAUCCUCCUGAACUUGCAGAACCUUUACGAAAGUCUCUAUGAUGCUCUUAACCAGUACUACGUCUAUCUCGGAGGACAAAAAUACGUAGACCUUGGACUCGGAACCCAUCGUGUCAAAUGCAGGGUGCAUCAGGACUUCAGACUCAUCGUCAUCGAGGAAAAGGAGGUUGUCUACAAGCAGUUCCCAAUACCACUCAUCAACCGGCUAGAGAAGCACUACCUGGACAUCCACACUGUCCUCAAGAAGGAGCAGAAGAGUACUGUGAAGAAGUUGGAAAGAUGGGUGGAGCAGUUUGUUUCUCUCAGCAAACAACCCACAGUGGGGCCUCAGACGUACAAGUACCAAGCACCAGACGUCUUCAUCGGCUACCAUUCGGACACAUGUGCUUCAGUGAUUCUUCAAGCGAUUGAAAGGAGCAGGCAGGAUCUGGAAACAUCUGAAACAUCCGAAGCAGAUAUACUGCGAGCAUCUGAACUGGUGCUGCUGAACUGUGCCACACCUGACUCAAUAGUGCGCCUAGAUUGCACAAUGCUCCCAAAGGUCGAAAGUGAAAGACUGUCUCAAGUGUACUUUGAAGAGCAGAAUACCAGUUGUUUGGCUGACUACAUCCUUGCUCACAUGAACCAGGAUACCCAUUGGCAUGCCUCCUUCACUGAGGUGACUACUUUCUCCAGGCUUCUCACAGCCUCAGACUUGGAACAACUGGAGCAGUUACCUCAUGCUGUGGAGCUGUUAUCCCUGCAGCAGUUUGAAACAGAGCAGUCUUUCCUCAAGAAGAUCAGGUUUGUAUUGAUUUUCACCUUUAGAAACUGUGGGGUUGGCAACAAGAUCCUCAUCAUUCAGAGUGAUUUUGAUGAAGCAUCUCACAGUGCACAUCUUAUUGCAUCUGCAAAGUAUUCAUCCCUGAAUGAAAUGAACAAGAUCACACAAGCUAUUGUGGAGAACAAUAUAUUUGUCUACUUCAUCACCAAACUGCCAAGGAUGGAAGGGGGAACUUCUUACGUUGGCUUUCAUGGAGGGCCAUGGAAAUCGGUUCAUAUUGAUGACCUGCGGAAAUCCGAGGAUAUCGUAGCAGAUAUCAAGGCUCUGCGAAACCUAACAAUCAGUGAACUGUUUGACGAAAACCGAACUAAGCCCGAAGGUAAAAAUGUGCGAUGUGGAUGGGACUACGUCCUGGACACCACAGCUCUGGUACGUAGCUGUGUGCAGAGUGCAGUGGGCCUGCUGAGGGACCAAGUAGAGAACGGCUACCGCAGUACCAAAAGAGUGGAGAUCUUACUGACCCUUCUGAACGACAACGAAGACUUCAGAGGUGAAUUUCUUAGGAUUUUGAAGAGGCGCCUUCACUCCUUGUUGUUGACCCAGGAUGUCAACCCUCAUUCGUUCAAAAGCAACUGGGUGAUAAAGGAGGCCUCAAAUAUUGAUGCCUUGCAGGAAGGAGGAACAUUCAGGCACACACUAUGGAAGCGUAUCCAGGCGGUUGUCAUUCCUUACCUAGCCCAGCUGGUCUCCGUCAUCGACCGAGAUCAAAAUCUGGACAUUUUGCUUGACACCAACUGCAAUGAGCCUCUCAAGACAUUGUGGCUUGACAUCUUUGGCGCAGAGAAGCUGUUGGAAGUUGUUCCAGUCAUCUCUGCGACAAGAAGCAUCCUGGUGCAAAACUGCUUUGCUCUAGACAAGAACCUCAGCUGCAUCAUGCCCUUCAGCUGGAGGAUAAAGGACUACCUGGAGGAGCUCUGGGUUUAUGCUCGUCACCAAUCCAUUCCUGACACACCUUGUUGUUUCUUGUUCUUCUGGAGGACUCCCCUCGGUCGAUCCAUCGCGAAAGCAAGCCCGGAGAUGCAGUCCGAGUUUUUCCAGCGAUACCUACAGGACUUUAUCUCCAUGACGAUGAAUGUCAGGUCCCAGGAAAACCUUCAGAUGCAGUCGCGGGCAAUGGAGACUGAUAAGGAGGGGACCUCUCUUCCCUGGGUCCAUGCUGCCUACCACGAGUUUAAGAACCGAUUGCAGAACUUCGCCAGGAUGGUCAACCUUGAGCCGAGGAUUACCCAGGUCCUCCUGAACCAGCAAGCUCAGGAAGGGGCAGAGUUGGUUCUUGAUAUCUAUGCUGCAAUAGCCUGCGUUGAGUAUCUGGAACCCACGCAACUGGAAACUGAUGGGCAGAGGCAAGCCUGGCUGAGACAGGUGAAAAAGCUCCAGGUUCCCAUUGAGUUGAUAUGCUCUCAAGACAGCGUGAGAGGUUCUACUUCUUAUAAUGUUCUUAUGUUUAGGAAUGGGUGGAACCGCAUUUUUACCAUGUCGCUGUUUGUGGAGCACAUGUUGCUGGGUGAUGAGGAGGCCGAGAUGAAUCUGAAGCCUUUGGUUCUGGACCACAUGAGAGUUCUUGGGCAGAUCCUGGAGAGGAAUUCAGACCUAAAAGAGCGGCAGGCGUUUGAGGAGGUGAUUGGUGUACUCAAAGCCUGCAAAGAUAAAGACCUUGGAUCUGAUACACUUCCUGUUUGCUCUCUCAGGUUUGGCCCCCAACGGUGCCCUGUGUGUAUGAUGGACCCUCAAGAUCCCCUCAGCCUGCCCUGUGACCACAUCUACUGCGUGGCCUGCAUCAAAAAAUGGCUGGGCCCUGGUCAGAUGUACUGUCCCUUAUGCAUGCAGCCUGUCCCUGAAGACUUCUCCACAACGUUUCAAACCAAUCAACAUGCCAAGUUCAGGAAGCAGUGCAAUGCUUUCUUCAUAGACCUGGUUUCCACCAUGUGCUUCAAGGACAACACCCCGCCCUGUUCAGCCAUCGUCCUCCAUCUGCUGUCAUUCCUCAUGCUGGAGGCCAAACCCCUCCCCAUAUUUAGAGGGGAUCGACAAAUUCUGACCAAGGUCCUCUCGCCGUUUGACGAGUCUGUGGACAAAAACCCAGUGGUGCGCUCCUUUGUCCUCAAACUGCUGCUGAAGUUCAGCUUUGAGCAGGUGAAAGGCUACCUGCAGCAGCAUCUGACCGAAGUGGAGAAGAGCCUCAUCUUGGAACCGACUGAUAAAACCGAACUGUACUCCAUGUACAUUAACUGCCUGGAGGUAUGCAUGGGGGCAUACAUCUGCUUUGAAUUGUUUCACCUUGGUUUUAUUUUUGCCUACAGCGCUACUGUAGAGCAUCUGCAGCAGGUGGCCAGGGUGCGCAUGGGCCUGGACAUGGCCGCCACUCUGCUGGUACAACAAAUGGAAGGCCAGGCCUCCAUCACAGACUUCCUGGACGCCGUGGUGAAGCUGUGCAUUCAGAGCAACAACGACUGGUUCCGCGUCUACCUGAUCCGCAAGAUCUGCACUCAACAGGGCGUGGAGUUUGUCCAGAGUCUCCUCAAAGUGGAGGCUGUGCACUGGCUCUUCCCUGAAGAAGUUCUCCAGCAGGUACUGGUCUCUGACCUCCGACCAUGCAGCGCCAUUGAUCAUUUCCUCGUGUGCGGAGAGGACUACAAGACCAUUCGAGAUGCUCUGGCCACAGUGCUGAUCGAGGGCAAAAGCAUCGCUGAAGCUUGCUUGCCACAAACGAAGGCGGUGUAUCUUCUGUUGGCCCUCUUCAGAGAAGUCACCUCUCUCUACGGAAAUGCCAACGCUAGUCGCCAUCCCACACCCGAGCAAUGCCGAGUCUUGGUGACUCACAUCGAUGCUUGCGGACUCCUGCAACGCGCCGAGAUGAAGAACUUUGCGAAGGCCUUGGUGGCCAACCGUCUGGGGCCCUUGGCCGCCGUCCCCGGGGCCCCCGGGGGUCACUGUGCGGUGGUGGAGCUGACGGUCCACAUGGCCUCGGUCCUUCUCUGCGCCAACCAGAGGAUCCUCGUUCCCCUUCAGAACCUGGCCCUGUCAACAGGGAACAUGCAACGAGCCUUCCUGCCCACCAUGCCAGAGGACAUGUUGUUUGUAGCUCAACAGGCCAUGGGAGCGGUGCACUGGUACUAUUGUCCAAAUAACCACCCCUGCACCAUCGGAGAGUGUGGUCAACCCAUGGAACAAAGCCGUUGUCCGGACUGCGGCGCGGCCAUCGGAGGAAACGAGCACAGACCUGUGGCUGGAUUCACUGCUGCUCAAGCAGCGGGCGACCGCACCCAGACGGGCCAUGUCCUCGGAGACCCGGUGCGCAGGGACAACCCGGACACCCUGGACACCAAGAACAUGUCCCCGGGGCCCUUCACCCUGGUGCGCAUGCUCACCCACAUGGCCAUGCUGUAUGGAGCCAGCAUCAACCCACAGCUCAUCGCUCAGAUCAUCAAACCUCCGGUGGCUAAUCCAGGAGCCUUCCUGUUGGCCCACCUGCUGAAGGACAUGGAGCAUCUGACCAAGUCUCUGGGGAAGGGGACGGACGACACCAUCCACACGGUUCACCUGUUGCUCUGCGGCCUGCUGGAGCCUCACCAGGUUCAACAAUGGCCCGAUCCUUACGACAACCAUCUCUCCACCAAAGACCACAGGAACGGCUGGGAGAUGUCCGUCAGCAACACCAUCAUCAUACCUCAACUGAAGCACCUGGACAGACGGCUGAAGGAGGCCAACGACCUGGUCCGGGCCGACGCCCGUGUGUCCUGUGACCCCGUCUUCAAGCUGAUGUUCGGGGACCCGCGCCUCUUCCUGGCCUCCCUGCGCCGCGGCUCCCUGAUCCACGGCCAGGCGGUGUGGAGCUGCAGGGAGGAGCUCUCCCUGCUCAGCCUCACGCACAUCGUGGAGCAGCACGACGGCAAAGACACGCUGCCCCUCCUCUGGAGGUUCCUCCAGAGGGAGGCGGAGCUGCGCUUCGUGAAGUUCCUUCCAGACAUCCUAACACUCCAGAAGGACCUGGUGAAGAAGUUCCAGAACAUCAGCGACCUGCCCUUCAGAACUAUCGGCGACUUCCUCAACAGUCAGAAACCAGUGUUACUCAGAGGUUGGUACGAGAGAUGCAUCACCAUCUUCCUGGCCACCUGGAAUAAACUCAGGGCUUCCUUGGCAACAAAUGGAGAGAUUAAGAUCCCGGCAGAGCUGUGCGAAGAAGACCUGGACAUGGACAGUGACCUCACGGUGCUGUUGCCACGGAGACAGGGCCCAGGGCUGUGCUCUACAGCCCUGGUCAGCUACCUGAUCGCCCUGCACAACGAGAUCAUCAAAUGUGUGGACAAGCACACCGGAGAACACACCAGCUACGAGGUGAGCCCCGCCGACCUGACGGACCAGCAGGUGAUCCGCUACGAGCUGGACCAGGAGCUGAUGCCGCUGGUGCUCGCCAACAGCCAGUACAGCCUGGAGCGAGGCAAGGAGACGCUGCACGAGUACGACCUGGCCAAGAUCCAGCAGCAGGUCCUCACCCACUUCCUGCAGGGCCGGCCAAUCAUCACCCUCCAGGGCAUUCCGACCCUGGUGAACAGACACGAGCGGGACUACGUGAUCAUUCUGAAGGACGUCAAAGAGAAAGUGGAGCAGGAAGCCCUCCAGAGCCUGAUGGCGUCCUGCCUGGCGGCGGAGCUGCAGUCGUACAGCGAGGUGUGCGAGGCCCUGACCACGGUGGAGGUGGCCCUGGGCUUCCUGGCCAUGACGGGGGGGGACCCCCACAUGCAGCUGUCCUGUUACCUGGAGGAGGUGCUGCAGAUGAAGGACCAGACGGCCCCCCACGUCCUCAAGGCCCUGACUGUGUGCCGGCUGAGGCACUGUGUGGCCCUGUGGCAGCUCCUCACCUCGCUCAAGUCCCAGAACAUGAUGCGGCUCAAGAGGGAUCCGUUCGCGGCGUUCCCCGGGGCCUACAAGCAGCCUCUGAGCGACGAGGAUCGCAGGCUGCUGUCAGGGUUCUUUGUGAAGCCCGUCGCCGAAGGCUUCCUGCUGGAGAUGCACGAGUUCCUCGUGCUGGAGCUGAAGAACCCCCACGCCCCUGACAAGUACCGACCGGCCUGGGGGCUGAGAGACACGGUGGUGUCCUACAUUGAGCGCAAGGACCUGGAUGUUUCUCCUGAGGUGGAAGACUUGUUCCCAGAAGAGAUCUGCCUCUCUCACUUCAUCGAAGCGUGGAAGUUCAGUGUGGUCUUCAAACAGGAGAACAGAAAAGGGUGA